UACAGAGGGGGCAAGCGUUGUUCGGAAUUAUUGGGCGUAAAGCGCGUGUAGGCGGCUUUGCAAGUCGGGUGUGAAAUCCCUCAGCUUAACUGAGGAAGUGCGCCCGAAACUGCAGAGCUUGAGUACCGGAGAGGAUGGCGGAAUUCCCCAAGUAGAGGUGAAAUUCGUAGAUAUGGGGAGGAACACCGGUGGCGAAGGCGGCCAUCUGGACGGAUACUGACGCUGAGACGCGAAAGCGUGGGUAGCAAACAGG
rnacentral:rRNA from 1 species